UACAGAGGUCUCAAGCGUGGUUCGGAUUCAUUGGGCGUAAAGGGUGCGUAGGCGGCGCGGUAAGUCGGGUGUGAAAUCUCGGAGCUUAACUCCGAAACUGCAUUCGAUACUGCCGUGCUUGAGGACUGGAGAGGAGACUGGAAUUUACGGUGUAGCGGUGAAAUGCGUAGAUAUCGUAAGGAAGACCAGUGGCGAAGGCGGGUCUCUGGACAGUUCCUGACGCUGAGGCACGAAGGCCAGGGGAGCAAACGGG
rnacentral:rRNA from 1 species